rnacentral:lncRNA from 1 species
GCUUAUCCUUUGAAAAAUCUGAAUUACAAUUAUAAAUUGUCUUGUAGUCAAGCUAAUGACUAUAAACAAUCGCUCCUUGGGAGGCAACCCAAGCUAAAUCUUUCUCUUGUCCUUUGUCUUUAAUAACUUUUUAUUAUUAUUAUUUUUAGUUAAAUAAUUAUGACCAUAACCUCUUUUUGUUCAGUUAUGCAGAUUUGAGAAGUAAGCAUG